rnacentral:rRNA from 1 species
CCUACGGGAGGUUGCAGUGAGGAAUAUUGGUCAAUGGCCGAGAGGCUGAACCAGCCAAGUCGCGUGAGGGAAGACGGCCCUACGGGUUGUAAACCUCUUUUGUCGGGGAGCAAAGCGAGUCACGUGUGACUCAUUUAGAGUAUCCGAAGAAAAAGCAUCGGCUAACUCCGUGCCAGCAGCCGCGGUAAUACGGAGGAUGCGAGCGUUAUCCGGAUUUAUUGGGUUUAAAGGGAGCGUAGAUGGGUUGUUAAGUCAGUUGUGAAAGUUUGCGGCUCAACCGUAAAAUUGCAAUUGAUACUGGCAGCCUUGAGUACAGUUGAGGUAGGCGGAAUUCGUGGUGUAGCGGUGAAAUGCUUAGAUAUCACGAAGAACUCCGAUUGCGAAGGCAGCUUACUAAACUGCCACUGACAUUGAUGCUCGAAAGUGUGGGUAUCAAACAGGAUUAGAUACCCGAGUAGUC